GAAACCCAGUCAUAAGGGGCUUGAUGACAGCAAUGGCUUUGAGUGGUGGCCCUGUCUCUGGUGCCCAUCUGCUUUCGUUGCUUAGAAGCAAACCCCAAGAUAAGGAUUUGAAUGGAAGUAGUUUGAGAGGUAAUUUCAAGAAGCACCACUAGUUACCUGCUGCCAUGUAAAACCCCACUGUGUUCCUGCGGCAUCAUCAGGCUUGGAAAAGAGCAAGUCCAAGGGUUCUCCCAAGGUCUGGAUCUAUCUGCAUGAAUGGCCCUCACCUGCGGUGCUCCUGACGCAUCUUGGAGGCCAAAGGAACUUUCUUCCUGGCUCUUGGCAGCAUUGACUGGGGAUCUUCAAAUGGCCAACCAGUUCACAGCCAUUGUGAACAUUUAUGUAAUAACACUUCAUUUCACCUGUUCCUCACAAUGGUCCCUGCUUUACAAAUAGAGAAGUGAAGCUUCUGGAGGUCAGAUGAUUUGCCCAAGGUUAUGGAAGUAGUAAGGAGUGGAAACCAAGCUUUUUAAUUUCAAAUCCAAUGCUCUUAUCACAAUACCUCACUAUUAAUCCCUAAUCUGCCCAAAUAUUGCAUUAAAAGGAAAUGAUUUAGGGAAGAGAUUUGAGGGUUGUCUCCUUUGAAAGUAUACUUUUAGAAUUUUCCAGCCAUUCUAUUCAAGGCAUCAACCCCAAUUCCCCUUCUGUACAUCCUCAAUGAGUGACAGCUUACCUCCUCCAGCCCAUACAGCCCUCCCCUCCCCACAUAGGGCCAGUGUCUUAGCAUCUUCCUCCCCGCCAACCACCGACUCUGGGUGGUGGGUGCCCAGUGUUGAGUCAGGGAACUUGGGAAGCUGCAGGGUUAACAGGCCCAUCAUCCCCUGCUGUUAAUUUCACUAGAAGCACUGUUAGGGGAGAGCAAUCUUACGGUGCCUAUCUACCUACUAUGCAGCAGGAAGUACAUUUUGAAGAUUAGUAUUUUUUAUCUUUCAAAACAACGCAAAGAAAUUUUUGCUUGUCGCAGGUGUUUUCAGAGACAGCCCUGAAUCUUCUAGAGAUGUCUCCUCAGCAGGCUGUGGGUUUCAUUGCUGAAAUACAACCCUCAUUAUCUGAAAAGCUCAUUGGGUAUCUACCAUAUGUCCCAGGACAAUGUGCCACGCUGGUGUUUUUCUCAUGUAUUAUUAGAUAACUUUCCUCAUCUUUACAUUGCUGUUAGGUUACACCCUCCUUGAAGCUCUUGUAGUAAAUAAUAGCACGUACCUACUAUGUGCCAAGAGUGGGGCUCAGACAAGUGUCAGGCAAGCGAGGGGCCUAGUGUACAAAAUUUAAGGAGGCAUUCAGCUGCUGACCCUGAGACUGAGUGCCUGGUCCUUUGUGAGUGCCGC
rnacentral:lncRNA from 10 species